rnacentral:rRNA from 1 species
GGUUGGGGAUGGGCUCGCGGCCUAUCAGCUUGUUGGUGAGGUAAUGGCUCACCAAGGCGUCGACGGGUAGCCGGCCUGAGAGGGUGACCGGCCACACUGGGACUGAGACACGGCCCAGACUCCUACGGGAGGCAGCAGUGGGGAAUAUUGCACAAUGGGCGAAAGCCUGAUGCAGCAACGCCGCGUGAGGGACGACGGCCUUCGGGUUGUAAACCUCUUUUAGCAAGGAAGAAGCGAAAGUGACGGUACUUGCAGAAAAAGCGCCGGCUAACUACGUGCCAGCAGCCGCGGUAAUACGUAGGGCGCAAGCGUUAUCCGGAAUUAUUGGGCGUAAAGAGCUCGUAGGCGGUUUGUCGCGUCUGCUGUGAAAACUGGGGGCUCAACCCCCAGCCUGCAGUGGGUACGGGCAGACUAGAGUGCGGUAGGGGAGAUUGGAAUUCCUGGUGUAGCGGUGGAAUGCGCAGAUAUCAGGAGGAACACCGAUGGCGAAGGCAGAUCUCUGGGCCGUAACUGACGCUGAGGAGCGAAAGGGUGGGGAGCAAACAGGCUUAGAUACCCUGGUAGUCCACCCCGUAAACGUUGGGAACUAGUUGUGGGGUCCAUUCCACGGAUUCCGUGACGCAGC